rnacentral:rRNA from 1 species
GAUGAACGCUGGCGGCGUGCCUAAUACAUGCAAGUCGAGCGAACAGACGAGGAGCUUGCUCCUCUGACGUUAGCGGCGGACGGGUGAGUAACACGUGGAUAACCUACCUAUAAGACUGGGAUAACUUCGGGAAACCGGAGCUAAUACCGGAUAAUAUAUUGAACCGCAUGGUUCAAUAGUGAAAGACGGUUUUGCUGUCACUUAUAGAUGGAUCCGCGCCGCAUUAGCUAGUUGGUAAGGUAACGGCUUACCAAGGCAACGAUGCGUAGCCGACCUGAGAGGGUGAGCGGCCACACUGGAACUGAGACACGGUCCAGACUCCUACGGGAGGCAGCAGUAGGGAAUCUUCCGCAAUGGGCGAAAGCCUGACGGAGCAACGCCGCGUGAGUGAUGAAGGUCUUCGGAUCGUAAAACUCUGUUAUUAGGGAAGAACAAAUGUGUAAGUAACUAUGCACGUCUUAACGGUACCUAAUCAGAAAGCCGCGGCUAACUACGUG